CGGACGGGUGAGUAACGCGUGAGAAUCUAACUUCAGGACGGGGACAACAGUUGGAAACGACUGCUAAUACCCGAUGUGCCGCAAGGUGAAACCUAAUUGGCCUGAAGAAGAGCUUGCGUCUGAUUAGCUAGUUGGUGGGGUAAAGGCCUACCAAGGCAACGAUCAGUAGCUGGUCUGAGAGGAUGAGCAGCCACACUGGGACUGAGACACGGCCCAGACUCCUACGGGAGGCAGCAGUGGGGAAUUUUCCGCAAUGGGCGAAAGCCUGACGGAGCAACGCCGCGUGAGGGAGGAAGGUCUUUGGAUUGUAAACCUCUUUUCUCAAGGAAGAAGUUCUGACGGUACUUGAGGAAUCAGCCUCGGCUAACUCCGUGCCAGCAGCCGCGGUAAUACGGGGGAGGCAAGCGUUAUCCGGAAUUAUUGGGCGUAAAGCGUCCGCAGGUGGUCAGCCAAGUCUGCCGUCAAAUCAGGUUGCUUAACGACCUAAAGGCGGUGGAAACUGGCAGACUAGAGAGCAGUAGGGGUAGCAGGAAUUCCCAGUGUAGCGGUGAAAUGCGUAGAGAUUGGGAAGAACAUCGGUGGCGAAAGCGUGCUACUGGGCUGUAUCUGACACUCAGGGACGAAAGCUAGGGGA
rnacentral:rRNA from 1 species